UACGUAGGGGGCAAGCGUUGUCCGGAUUUAUUGGGCGUAAAGAGCGUGUAGGCGGCUAGAUAGGUCCGUUGUGAAAACUCGAGGCUCAACCUCGAGACGCCGAUGGAAACCAUCCAGCUAGAGUCCGGAAGAGGAGAGUGGAAUUCCCGGUGUAGCGGUGAAAUGCGCAGAUAUCGGGAAGAACACCCGCGGCUAAGGCGGCUCUCUAGUACGGUACUGACGCUGAGACGCGAAAGCGUGGGGAGCGAACAGG
rnacentral:rRNA from 1 species